rnacentral:rRNA from 1 species
CUCAAAUUUGAAAUCUAGCACUUUCAGUGUUCGAGUUGUAAUUUGAAGAAGGUAACUUUGGUUUUGGCUCUUGUCUAUGUUCCUUGGAACAGGACGUCACAGAGGGUGAGAAUCCCGUGCGAUGAGAUGCCCAAUUCCAUGUAAAGUGCUUUCGAAGAGUCGAGUUGUUUGGGAAUGCAGCUCUAAGUGGGUGGUAAAUUCCAUCUAAAGCUAAAUAUUGGCGAGAGACCGAUAGCGAACAAGUACAGUGAUGGAAAGAUGAAAAGAACUUUGAAAAGAGAGUGAAAAAGUACGUGAAAUUGUUGAAAGGGAAGGGCUUGAGAUCAGACUUGGUAUUUUGCGUUCCCUUCCUUUUUGGUUGGGUUCCUCGCAGUUUACUGGGCCAGCAUCGGUUUGGAUGGUAGGAUAAUGACAUUGGAAUGUAGCUUUACUUCGGUGAAGUGUUAUAGACUUUGUUGAUACUGCCUAUCUAGACCGAGGACUGCGUCUU